rnacentral:rRNA from 1 species
UUGCUUUCUCCGCCGGCGACCGGCGCACGGGUGAGUAACACGUAUGCAACCUGCCCCUGUCAGGGGGACAACCCGCCGAAAGGCGGGCUAAACCCGCGUACAUGCCACCGGGGCAUCCCGGAGGCAGGAAAGGCUUCGGCCGGACAGGGAUGGGCAUGCGGCGCAUUAGGCAGUAGGCGGGGUAACGGCCCACCUAACCGACGAUGCGUAGGGGUUCUGAGAGGAAGGUCCCCCACACUGGUACCGAGACACGGACCAGACUCCUACGGGAGGCAGCAG